GUGAGAUGUUGCAAAACUGAGAGAUUCAACAAAAUGGGGCAGCUGAGUUUCACUUUGAACUGCUUUAAGAAUGAAGGCUUAGAAUGAAGACUGCUUGCCUGUUUUUCUUCAUAUGGGCCUUGGACAGAAAUGAGGAAAGGAAAAACAAUUUCACAGAUGAAUCUGCUCAACUGAUCAGGGAGAAAGCCUUAAGGAAGACAACUGAGGAAGCUUAUUGGAAAGCUGCAUGGUGAUCUCCUUGUGGUAUCUGAGCACAGCUUUUAUAUAAUUAGAAAUCUGCCGCUGCAUGGUCCCCUCCAGAUGGAGGCAAGGAAAAAGAGAUGGUGGUGUGACUGAACAACACUCAUGCUGCUGUGGAAGACUGC